ensembl:lncRNA
CGUCCUCCUGGAAUGGCUAUGCCGUAUUGAAAGGACUGGGCCAAGCUAACAACUUCUAACUAAUUAGUUUGAUAAAGUGCAUGUAUGGAUGACUCCUCGCUUACACAAGAAAGAAGGAAAAAUCACAUUAGUAUCUUGAAUAAUGAGGGCUGAAAUCAAUGUUGCUCACCAAGUUGACUCAAGGGAAUCAUCUAAAAGCCUGGAUGAGGACAUGUUAUUAACCUUUCUCCAAUUCUCCGGGAUGUCAUAUUUGUGUUGCUUUGCCAGUUCCAUUUUGCUCCCUUGUGUCGAGGAUUACAGGCGAAAUUCACCUGGUUUUUACCCAGAAGGCUUUCAACGGCUUCCACCGAGUUGUGGAAUCAGACUUCAGCCUGUUUCCUUCAGAGUAACAGCACCCAGCGGUGAGGACGAGCAAACAAAGCAUAUCUUCCAGGUAUUCCUCUUCAGCCACCGGGAGCAUGUUUCCGCGAUGUGACCCCGCUCCCGACCGGUUUCGACCCCAGCCAGUCCAGAAGGCAGAGGAGGACCGUCCGGAUGGAGCACGGGGUCCGCAGGUUCUAUGGACGUUGCGGAAGCUUCUGGUGCCUUUCCUGAUCUUCCCAGAACCCCGCGGCUUGUGGCCGACGAAUUCUGAGCAAUCCCCGGCUUGUGGCCUGCGAACCAGCUGAGGGAGGAAGCAGUGGUCAGGACUACAGUGCCAUGGUUACGGAGGGAGUCCUGCCCCACACAAACCAACCUGUCAGUUGACCUGAUUAACAGAGGAUUGUCCUUCACUCAUGAACUAAUAUAAGAGGAGGGAAGGGCAGGCUAAAAGGCAUCUUUGACUAAUGCACUAAAGUAAGAUGGGGCACUGUAAAGUUAAGAGACCAGAACAGUUAAUGAUGCCCAGACCACACCACUUCUGACCAGGACCUGGCUGCUUUCAGACACCAUCUGUGUGUGUGGGUGGAUUCUGUACCUGUGUGUGUGUGUGUGUGUGUGUAUGUGUGGGUAGAUACUGUACGUGUGUGUGUGUGUGCGUGCAAGCACUCGUGCGUGGGUGCAGGUGUCUGCAAGGAAGCCUAAACGAGAGUUAAUAAGGAAACGGAAGACUCUCUUAUUGUGAAGGAGGUUUAUUGAGAUAGGAUGAUCCCUAAUGUUCCGGAAGGUUCCUGCUUUUUCUAUGAUUUAAUAUAUUCAUUAAGCUCUCCUCCGUCCACCCCUCUUGCUCUCCUCCCUUUUCUCUCUCUCUUUAUUCUAUCUAUUUGCCCAACCCCAGUCUUUCAGUAUCUAGUAAACAGCAGGAAGACAGUGUUUUGGCAGAGGGAGCACGCCAUUAGAGUCAGCCUGACUUCAUCCCACCUGGUAAAGUGCUCUAGUUCUGACCAGGGCACAAAUUCUCCCCACAGGGCCUUGGGCUAAAGUAGUGUACUAUGGAGUGCACAUGGCUCUGGUCUAAAGCCGUGAACCGUAUAGGGAAUUGGCAGACUGAGGAGGAUUUCAUCUUGGUUUUUGGCCUUCCUCACACACCCUGUUCUUUCUACCCUCAUUUAUAUAAUGACCUGCACUGAGAGACACACACACAAAAACACUCUCACACACCUAUACGCACGGACACACACGCUCACAAACACACACAGGCCGACACACACACAAACACAAUCUCACACACACCCCACAGACUAAAAGGCAAUUUGAUUUGGCCAGGAUGAUGGGUAAUAACAGUAACAACCAACUGGAAGAGAGAAAGUCAUCCGAGGCAGAAAGAACACACCGAAUAUUACCUGACCCUUGGUCAGAGUGUGUGUGUGUGUGUGUGUGCGUGUGUGUGUGUGUGUGUGUGUGUACCGCGAGCUGUAGAUUAAUUUUCUACCUCCUAAUUGAACAUCAGUUGAGCCUAGAGCCUAGUAGUAAUCAUCUGUGUGGCUGCAGCAUUGGCCACAGAGAACAUUCACAGGUUCCCCACUUCACUCCCAAAUGGCACCCUAUUCUUCGUGUGGUAAACUACUUCUGACCAGGUCCAUAGGCGCCACGCAGGGGACGGGGGGGCGGUUGGGGAUCUCACUUCUGAACGCUGUUAUAUUGUCUGAUGAGGAUGAAGAAAUCCUAGCAGCGUAAAGGCUUGGCUGAGGCUGAAACCUCUCUCUCCCGACAACUAGAGCUAGUGCUAAGAUAAUGUCUGUGUGUGUGUGUGUGUGUGUGUCUGUGUGUGUGUGUGUCUGUGUCUGUGUGUGUGUGUGUGUCUGUGUGUGUGUGUGUUUGUAGGUAUGGCUCGUCACAUUUUUUUAAUUGGCAACGUUUUUCUGCUGAUGUGUGGGACUUUGUGACAUCUUGGGGAAGCUCUGUUUUGGGUUUUCUGAGAGAGAGAGAGAGAGAGACAGAGAGGGAGAGAGAGACAGAGAGUGAUAUACAGAAAGUGAG